rnacentral:rRNA from 1 species
CCUACGGGUGGCUGCAGUCGAGAAUCAUUCACAAUGGGGGAAACCCUGAUGGUGCGACGCCGCGUGGGUGAAUGAAGGUCUUCGGAUUGUAAACCCCUGUCAUGUGGGAGCAAAUUAAAAAGAUAGUACCACAAGAGGAAGAGACGGCUAACUUUGUGCCAGCAGCCGCGGUAAUACAGAGGUCUCAAGCGUUGUCCGGCAUCCCUGGGCGUAAAGAGUACGUAGGCGGUUUCGUAAGUCGUGUGUGAAAGGCGCGGGCUCAACCCGAGGACGGCACAUGAUACUGGGAGGCUAGAGUAAUGUAGAGGGAAGUGGAAUUCUCGGUGUAGCAGUGAAAUGCGUAGAUAUCGAGAGGAACACUCGUGGCGAAGGCGGGUUCCUGGACAUUAACUGACGCUGAGGCACGAAGGCCAGGGGAGCGAAAGGGAUUAGAUACCCCUGUAGUC